AUGCAUCAAACAGUGAAGGGCAUCACGAAGGAGUUACAGAUCCGUGUCUUCAUAUUUCUGCUCUUCUGGGUAUCUGGUGCCUAUGGGAACAUUGUAAUGACCCAGUCUCCCAAGUCAUUACCUGUGUCAGUAGAAGACAAAGCCACCAUGAGUUGCAAAUCCAGUCAGAAUGUGGAUACCAGUAUAGCAUGGUAUCAACAGAAACCAGGGCAGACUCCUACAUUACUGAUCUACUCAGCUUCCACUCGGGAUACUGGGGUCCCUGAUAGCUUCACAGGGAGUGGGUCUUGGACAGACUUCACUCUCACCAUCAGCAGUGUCCAGGGUGAAGACCUGGCAGAUUAUUACUGUCAGCAGGACUACUUCCUACUUUCUCUUCUAGCAGGUUCAGAGUAG